rnacentral:rRNA from 1 species
UACGGGGGGAGCAAACGUUGUUCGGAAUCACUGGGCGUAAAGGGCGCGCAGGCGGUCUGCUAAGCGUGCGGUGAAAGCCUGGGGCUCAACCCCAGGUCUGCCGUGCGAACUGGUGGACUAGAGCACUGUAGAGGCAGGUGGAAUUCCGGGUGUAGCGGUGGAAUGCGUAGAGAUCCGGAAGAACACCGGUGGCGAAGGCGGCCUGCUGGGCAGUUGCUGACGCUGAGGCGCGACAGCGUGGGGAGCAAACAGG